rnacentral:rRNA from 1 species
AGAAUCAACGCUGGCGGCGUGCCUAACACAUGCAAGUCGAACGAGAAAGUGGAGCAAUCCAUGAGUAAAGUGGCGCACGGGUGAGUAACACGUGACUAACCUACCCUCGAGUGGGGAAUAACCUCGGGAAACCGGGGCUAACACCGCAUAACAUCUACGGAUCAAAUGCGUAAGCAGCUUUAGGAGGGGGUCGCGGCUGAUUAGCUAGUUGGCGGGGUAAUGGCCCACCAAGGCAGUGAUCAGUAGCCGGCCUGAGAGGGCGCACGGCCGACACUGGAACUGAAACACGGUCCAGACUCCUACGGGAGGCAGCAGUGGGGAAUUUUGCGCAAUGGGGGAAACCCUGACGCAGCAACGCCGCGUGGAGGAUGAAGCCCCUUGGGGUGUAAACUCCUUUCGAUCGGGACGAUUAUGACGGUACCGGAUGAAGAAGCACCGGCUAACUCUGUGCCAGCAGCCGC